GAUGAACGCUGGCGGCGUGCCUAAUACAUGCAAGUCGAGCGAACAGACGAGGAGCUUGCUCCUCUGACGUUAGCGGCGGACGGGUGAGUAACACGUGGAUAACCUACCUAUAAGACUGGGAUAACUUCGGGAAACCGGAGCUAAUACCGGAUAAUAUAUUGAACCGCAUGGUUCAAUAGUGAAAGACGCUUUUGCUGUCACUAAUAGAUGGAUCCGCGCCGCAUUAGCUAGUUGGUAAGGUAACGGCUUACCAAGGCAACGAUGCGUAGCCGACCUGAGAGGGUGAUCGGCCACACUGGAACUGAGACACGGUCCAGACUCCUACGGGAGGCAGCAGUAGGGAAUCUUCCGCAAUGGGCGAAAGCCUGACGGAGCAACGCCGCGUGAGUGAUGAAGGUCUUCGGAUCGUAAAAUCCUGUUAUUGGGGAAGAACAAAUGUGGAAGUAACUAUGCACGUCUUGACGGUACCUAAUCAGAAAGCCACGGCUAACUACGUG
rnacentral:rRNA from 1 species